rnacentral:rRNA from 1 species
CAAUAGCGUAUAUUAAAGUUGUUGCAGUUAAAAAGCUCGUAGUUGGAUUUCUGGUGGGAGCGAUCGGUCUGGCGCUUAGCGCGAGUACUUGCAUCGUCUCCGGCCAUCCUUGGGGAAAGUCUGUCUGGCAUUAAGUUGUCGGGCAGAGGAUCCUCAUCGUUUACUGUGAAAAAAUUAGAGUGUUCAAAGCAGGCUUAUGCCGUUGAAUAUAUUAGCAUUGAAUAAUAAGAUAGGACUUUGGUACUAUUUUGUUGGUUUGCGCACCAAAGUAAUGAUUAAUAGGGACAGUUGGGGGUAUUCGUAUUCCGUUGUCAGAGGUGAAAUUCUUGGAUUUACGGAAGACGAACUACUGCGAAAGCAUUUACCAAGGAUGUUUUCAUUAA